CUGCUUCACAUUACAUGGAGAUGAAUUAAACAAGCUACUAUGGUACUCAGAAAACAUCUGCUAACAAAGUCAGAAGUAACGAUAAACAAACUUGAGUUCCCUUUGUGGUUGAUUUUCAUCCAGCUGCAUUUAAUUAUAAAAGAGCUAUCAAAGAAAGCUCCCCAUUAGCAGCAAAUUCAGAAUGACUUCAGAAGAAAAUCCCAGAGCCUCCAGUGAUAUCUCUCGAACAACUUUCUCAUCUCUGCAAGUGAUUGAGAAGAGCUGAAUGAGACCAGCUUAGCGAUCAUUUCUCCUGCUAGCUGCCAGAGUAAAAUGAAGAUGAUGUAUCCUUUCAGUACCUGUGAUUGCCCAUUUUCAAAGCACUCCUAUUGGUUGGACCUAUAAGAUCUACCAGACUCUCUCCUGCAGCUGAUCUCUGCCAUAUGCAUCGAUGUCAAUCAGGAAUACAAAGAUAACUCUAAAAAUUGCUGUGUGCAUUUUCUAAAGUGUAGCAUCUGCUGAUUUUGCUGAGAAAGUGAACAGAUUUGUUGUUACAGGCUUUUUUUUUUUUUUAAAUAGAGUCUUAUUCAUUUUGGUAUUUUCCACAAUGAAAUUAAAGAUGUGGUCAUUUAUGAGUACCUAAUUCUGGUUUACAUUGAUCAGGAACUUUUGCACUGAUGUAUCUAGCGAUGCACGGAGUCUGAGACUGAUGCUCUAGAUGAGCAAGACACACCUGAAUGUUAUUAAAACACAGCAAUGAUGUUUUUUUCUUUUUUUUUUUUUCAUAAAAAAAUAAAGAGAAAAGAACUGAAAAGCAUGUUCAUCCUAGUUCCCCUGAAGCUUCUUACACUGGCAAUAUUAGAUAUUCCAUGAACAGGUAACCUAUGUACUGAAGUUACAAGUGACAUUUUGUAAAUGUACCCAGAACUACAAGCAAUUACAAUAAAAGUCUAUUAACUCCAGUGAUAAUUAUGAACCCUCAAAGGAAUCUUCAUACACAGCAACGCACAAACAACCUGCAGUGUUCUGCUAUUGGAAGGUCUGGGUAACGGCAUGGAGGGUGGGAAAGGAGCUCUGGAAAAAUUCAGCUGGCUUAGAAACUCUGAUGGAAAGAAGAGGGCUUCUGGACGCUGAGAAAAGCAUUGAACCAGACUGGACAAUUUCUUCUGCACAGAAAGGAAAAUUGCUCAUUAUCUGUGCACAUGGGUCAAGAGACAUCCUCACUCAGAUUUUGCAUCCCAGACUAAAAACUGCAGGAAGCGUAUGAUACUGCUGCUUGCCUUUGGGUCCUGCACUGACUCCUGCCAGGAACAUGACAUUUACGCUGAGCACCUUGAAAAACAAGCAUUUCACUACUCCCCUGCAUGAGUGGCUUUCUUACACGUAUGCAAACAGAGACUCAAGACUUUUUCACCUACAAAAAAUAAAGGAUCCAGACCAUUUUGCUGGAGCCCCAACAUCCCAGGGCUGUACUCUCAGCGAUAGUACAUUGAGCCACGCUCUUUUUACAAGCAAACAGGAUAUUUUGCUCCCUGAGCUUGUUGUUGUGAUACGGGUAUUCUGCUGCCACACUAGGGCUGAGCAUGCUGAUCAAGCUCAUAUAUUAACAGGAGAUGGUGAGCAGCAUUUCUCCAGGAAAAAAAGUUUGUAGCCUGGCACACCUUCAUAACAAAGAUCUGCUCCGUUCAUCUGUCUGCUUAGAAAACAUGGGUGGGUGCUUUUUUUUGCCAAAAACCAUACCUGAUAGGUUUUACUGUUUAUUUUGCGUGUGUGUGCAGGCUAAACAGUCACUAAUAUGCUUCAAUAUGUUCCUCUUCCCUAUUUUGGUAACUGUAUAAGUACACCAUCGCUUCGCGAAAGCAUAGUUCAUAAAGCAUCCCAGCACCAGCAGAGAACAAAGAUUCAUGCAUCUCCAGAAAGGCUGUUUACAACAAACCUUCAUGCUCCCCUCAUAUAUUUUUCCCCUCCAAAAUUAGCAGCAGCCCACACAGCAGCAAAGACUCCUACCCCUGAUGGAUUCAGUAAGUGGCUGCAACCAGAAGCUCUCCUAUCGCAGCAAUCCUCUUCCCCCCAUCGCCUAGCAGAGACCCUCCAUAUGUCAUCAAUAGACCAGACAGAGAAGUCCUAAGCCUGUUUUUUGGGGGAUGUUAAUACAAAAUGAUGAUAGAUAACUACUAAGCGGAGCAGCAGACAGACCCGGCGCCUCUGACAGCAGCUGCUCUUCCUUUGUCAGUGUCAAUCGGCGCUGGCAUCGCGGGGAACGAGCAAAAGUGACAAGAGAAGAGCGCACCAAUUAUGGAUGAAGGGAUACAAUCUACUCCCACUGCUUGAUGUGAUUUAUUCGACGGUCCUUCUGCAUUUAUAGAGCAGCAGAUUGCGGCUGCUUAUGAAGUGACAAAUAGUGCUCAAUGACAUUGACUGACUGGUCUGAUCAAUUUAGCUUGGCUGAGAAGUAGCCACGAAUCGCUGUCUGGGUUGAAUGACGUACGUACCAUCCCGGCUCCGCUCGGCCAAGGCAAAAAUCUCCAAUGCUGUUUGGAAAACUGAUAAAAAAAAAUGACUCCCUUCAAACAAAUAGCACCACAGUCCCGUACAAGCAGUGAAAAAUUACAACCUUUCCCAUCGCUUUGCUUUGAAAUGCAUCUCACUUAAAGAAUGUUUUGUCUUCGAGACAGCGUCAGCGGAACAUUUUUAUUCUCUUAUAAGUUCCUGAAUAUUUGAUAUAUUUUGCUGGAGAAGCAAUGUAUCUGACAGAAGGGAAAAAUGUGGAGGCCUCCUUGCAGGAACCAACAAAGCAACUCUUCACAUUUUCUAGCAAAGUUGCCAACUGCCCUGAUUUUACUGAGUCUUGAGUCAUUGGAGUCAUUUUUAAAGUCCUGGAAUCUGGUGAUGAUGUAAUUCAGCUUUUGCCUUAAAAUAAAGAAAAACAGGGAAAAAAAAGAAAAAGAAAAAGAAAAGGAAAUUCCCAGCCCUGUGGUCAGAGAACAACUUGAAAAUGUGAUUUCAGUGAACCCAGCAGGAUCAAAAGCCAAAGGAAACUAAGCCAACUUAUUAAUGUAGAGGGGGUUGGAGCUAUUUUGUGGGUUCCUAACCUAAAAGUAACCUUAGGACUACGGAAGCCUGACAGAACUUUUUAACACCUGGGGCUGACAGCACAGAAAUUUCUGGCUCAUUCUAGCAGAGCCUCUGUGCUAAUAAACCAAUAUUGAGAACUGUCGGACUUCAGGAACUGGUAGGCCUUCUGGCAGGAGGAGUUUCUACACGUGCAAAGGUGGCAGAAGCAGGCUAUGGGGUGCCAUCUAAUUCUCACUGCUUUUAGUGAGCCUCGCACGGCCCUUCUCAUAACGCUGGAGUUACUCGAUAAGGUGUGAGCUGGCACCACCAGAGGCUGCAGAUUGCAGUCACUGGGCAAACAAAGAAUUAAAAGCCAUUGAGAGAGCGUUAGCAAGUUUUAUCUAGCAUUAGAUUAUUUUCAUAAAGUCGUAAUUUCAUGCCACACCUUAUAAAUAAAACCUAAGAUAUUGCUUAAACGAAGCAGUGCAUGGGUUGCCUGCAAAAGGUAAUUCCGUGUAUAAAUACAGUCUAACUUGUGAUCAGGUCUACAUAUACCUAUCAAUACAUAUGGACUUACAUGUGUAUAAAUCAAUGUCUGCGGGUGGGGGGUGCGCGUGUGCGGUUCAAUAUAUACUACAAUAUUAAACUGUUAUCCAUGCACAAGUAUAUUUAUGUAUAUAUUUCAAUUUAUUAGAGCUAGGCAGUCCUUUACAGACUUAAUAAAGAGCACCAGCAUUAUAAGCCAA
rnacentral:lncRNA from 1 species